CUACCAUUUCUGGCUGUCCCUCUCUGCUCCUUCCUCAGAACUUAAGCUAGGCUGAGAAAUAUCAUGCAUGAAUGCCUGAGUUUGAGCCUGCCUAUGCGCAUGCCUGUCGGGUAGAGACAAGAGUCCAGUGCUCUCUUCACUGCCUUCUCCACGGUUUUGAGUCAUUUCCUGGAGGGAAGAAGACCCUCUAAACUAGGGACAUCCAUGCUCCAAAAGGCACAGUCCUGCUCUCCCAGACCCCUUACCUGUGUCUUUCGGCAGCAGCUAGCUGCCCAACCGAGCCAAGGCGAAAAGUGCUCGGAAUAACACCAUGCUCAGAGAAACAGAAGGAAGUUUCCAGAUGACGCCCUCUGCCAGGCUCCUGUGAAGAGCAGGAAGCCCCAGACGACCUUCUCCAGUCUCCAAAUACCCAGAAAUACCAUCCCACCUAGCCAUUGCUGGUGCUUAACCCUCACCAUGUCCAGUUUCUUUCUUUGCGUGUAGGGCAGCCUCCUCUGACCUCUGGGCUGCAGCUUAUCUCUGGGGUAGCGACUCCAGAUUCCCAGCAGUGCACGGUGGCUCGGUUUUAUCAGAAGUAUGCCUCAGAGUGGGCAGCAGUGAGCAGGGACUGUGGCCUAACGACUAAGGAUAUGUUUUAAGAAGCGAUUGUCGGGCUGGGGAGACCGGUCAGUUGGUGAAACCCUUGCCAUACAAGCGUGAGGACUGGGAGUGAAUCCCCAGAACACACGUGAAACCAGGAGCAGUGGUGUGCAUCUGCGGUUCCAACGCUUCUGAGGAGAGAUGAAAGGUGGACACAGGGGGUCCUAGGCUGUUCUCAGGCAGCACCCGGAAACAGGAGACCCUGUCAAAGGAGGUGGGAGGGGACUUUGUCCCAAGGUAGUUCUCCCACUUCCAAAAAAUGUCCAUGACACACAAACACCCAAGUUCACACACAUGAGUGUGCACGCUCACACACACACACACACAUCAUACACAAAAAAAUAAGUAGAAACAAUUAUUGGCCAGAAGUGUGGCCCUGUGGAGGGGCACAUCAUGCCUGGGGCUCUGAGUUCAGUGUCCAGCACAACACAAAAAGUGGGUGAAAAAAACAUUCGCUUUAUUGUUGACCAUUUUACCUGUAUCCAUAAAUAAACUUUCACAAAUGAA